AGAGUUUGAUCCUGGCUCAGGACGAACGCUGGCGGCGUGCUUAACACAUGCAAGUUGAACGGUACUCCAUGGAAGCUUGCUGAAGUGGAGUAUAGUAGCGGACGGGUGAGUAAUGCAUGAGAAGCUGCCAUUGGGAGGGGGACAACAGCUGGAAACGGCUGCUAAUACCCCGUAUGCCGGAAGGUGAAAGGGAUUUAUCCCGCCCGAUGAGGUGCUCAUGUCCUAUCAGCUAGUUGGUGAGGUAACGGCUCACCAAGGCGACGACGGGUAGCCGGCCUGAGAGGGUGAACGGCCACACUGGAACUGAGACACGGUCCAGACUCCUACGGGAGGCAGCAGUGGGGAAUAUUGGGCAAUGGGGGGAACCCUGACCCAGCGACGCCGCGUGAGGGAAGACGGCCUUCGGGUUGUAAACCUCUUUUGUAUGGGAAGAAGGAUGUGACGGUACCAUACGAAUAAGUCCCGGCUAACUACGUGCCAGCAGCCGCGGUAAUACGUAGGGGACGAGCGUUGUCCGGAAUUACUGGGCGUAAAGGGCGCGCAGGCGGUUUGUCAAGUCAGCUGUUAAAAAUGGGGGCUUAACCCUCAUAUGCUGUUGAAACUGGCAGACUGGAGUGCUGUAGAGGCAAGUGGAAUUCCCAGUGUAGCGGUGAAAUGCGUAGAUAUUGGGAAGAACACCGGUGGCGAAGGCGACUUGCUGGGCAGCAACUGACGCUGAGGCGCGAAAGCCAGGGGAGCAAACGGGAUUAGAUACCCCGGUAGUCCUGGCCGUAAACGAUGAAUGCUAGGUGUGGGUGUAGAGAUACAUCCGUGCCGGAGCUAACGCGAUAAGCAUUCCGCCUGGGGAGUACGGUCGCAAGAUUGAAACUCAAAUGAAUUGACGG
rnacentral:rRNA from 1 species